rnacentral:rRNA from 1 species
GUGUGACUGCGUACCUUUUGUAUAAUGGGUCAGCGACUUAUAUUCUGUAGCAAGGUUAACCGUAUAGGGGAGCCGGAGGGAAACCGAGUCUUAAUUGGGCGUUAAGUUGCAGGGUAUAGACCCGAAACCCGGUGAUCUAGCCAUGGGCAGGUUGAAGGUUGGGUAACACUAACUGGAGGACCGAACCGACUAAUGUUGAAAAAUUAGCGGAUGACCUGUGGCUGGGGGUGAAAGGCCAAUCAAACCGGGAGAUAGCUGGUUCUCCCCGAAAGCUAUUUAGGUAGCGCCUCGUGAAUUCAUCUCCGGGGGUAGAGCACUGUUUCGGCUAGGGGGCCAUCCCGGCUUACCAACCCGAUGCAAACUGCGAAUACCGGAGAAUGUUAUCACGGGAGACACACGGCGGGUGCUAACGUCCGUCGUGAAGAGGGAAACAACCCAGACCGCCAGCUAAGGUCCCAAAGUCAUGGUUAAGUGGGAAACGAUGUGGGAAGGCCCAGACAGCCAGGAUGUUGGCUUAGAAGCAGCCAUCAUUUAAAGAAAGCGUAAUAGCUCACUGGUCGAGUCGGCCUGCGCGGAAGAUGUAACGGGGCUAAACCAUGCACCGAAGCUGCGGCAGCGAACGUAUCACCCAAGACAACUUUACGGAGUUGACGAUUGACGGAGCGAAGCGACGUCAAAGCGUUCAUUAAAGUCGAGUUGGCUUAGGGAUACGUUCGUUGGGUAGGGGAGCGUUCUGUAAGCCUGUGAAGGUGUGUCGUGAGGCAUGCUGGAGGUAUCAGAAGUGCGAAUGCUGACAUAAGUAACGAUAAAGCGGGUGAAAAGCCCGCUCGCCGGAAGACCAAGGGUUCCUGUCCAACGUUAAUCGGGGCAGGGUGAGUCGACCCCUAAGGCGAGGCCGAAAGGCGUAGUCGAUGGGAAACGGGUUAAUAUUCCCGUACUUGGUGUUACUGCGAAGGGGGGACGGAGAAGGCUAUGUUGGCCGGGCGACGGUUGUCCCGGUUUAAGCGUGUAGGUGUGUGUUCCAGGUAAAUCCGGUU